GAGAUCAUGGCGGCACCGCCUGGACGGGACACCCUACCUGACCACUGGUCCUAUGGAGUUUGUAGAGACGGCCGGGUCUUCUUUAUUAAUGAUAAAAGUCACAGUACUACUUGGCUACAUCCACGCACUGGUGAACCUGUUAACUCUGGGCACAUGAUACGGUCAGAUUUGCCAAGAGGAUGGGAAGAGGGCUUCACGGACGAAGGAGCUAGCUACUUCAUCAA